CGAGCUCAGAGUCCGAAACCCUUAGCCAUUUACCCGUCAAGACUGCUGCGGAGCACACCAUUUUCUUUGAGAUCAUCAUCAAAACUAACAUCGUUCUUCAUAACAUGGACAUCGUAAACGGUAAGUAAAACAAAACCUAUUAUUGUAUUUUUAAAGGUGUUAUGUUAACAUAUUAUAGGAUAUUUAAACUAUUUUUUUCCUAAAACAAAAGCUUAAUUUUUAGGAGUUCGGGAGAACGGCACAGGACCCUUUUUCUUUAGAAAGCAGGGCGCUUUUACAGCUGGAACUAGUUCUCUAACAGGCACAAGGGUUAACAAACUGAGCAGGAAAACAUUCAGACGCCCUGACCACAGAGCCCAACCUUACAUCAGAGCCACGCCAGAGAACCGUAUGUGUGGAGAACCAGGGCCGUCCGG
ensembl:lncRNA